CCUAAGGUAGCGAAAUUCCUUGUCGGGUAAGUUCCGACCUGCACGAAUGGCGUAACGAUGGCGGCGCUGUCUCCACCCGAGACUCAGUGAAAUUGAAAUCGCUGUGAAGAUGCAGUGUAUCCGCGGCUAGACGGAAAGACCCCGUGAACCUUUACUGUAGCUUUGCACUGGACUUUGAGCUUGCUUGUGUAGGAUAGGUGGGAGGCUUUGAAGCGUGGACGCCAGUCUGCGUGGAGCCAUCCUUGAAAUACCACCCUGGCAAUCUUGAGGUUCUAACUCUGGUCCGUUAUCCGGAUCGAGGACAGUGUAUGGUGGGUAGUUUGACUGGGGCGGUCUCCUCCCAAAGAGUAACGGAGGAGUACGAAGGUGCGCUCAGACCGGUCGGAAAUCGGUCGUAGAGUAUAAAGGCAAAAGCGCGCUUGACUGCGAGACACACACGUCGAGCAGGUACGAAAGUAGGUCUUAGUGAUCCGGUGGUUCUGUAUGGAAGGGCCAUCGCUCAACGGAUAAAAGGUACUCCGGGGAUAACAGGCUGAUACCGCCCAAGAGUUCAUAUCGACGGCGGUGUUUGGCACCUCGAUGUCGGCUCAUCACAUCCUGGGGCUGAAGUAGGUCCCAAGGGUAUGGCUGUUCGCCAUUUAAAGUGGUACGCGAGCUGGGUUUAGAACGUCGUGAGACAGUUCGGUCCCUAUCUGCCGUGGACGUUUGAGAUUUGAGAGGGGCUGCUCCUAGUACGAGAGGACCGGAGUGGACGAACCUCUGGUGUUCCGGUUGUCACGCCAGUGGCAUUGCCGGGUAGCUAUGUUCGGAAGAGAUAACCGCUGAAAGCAUCUAAGCGGGAAACUUGCCUCAAGAUGAGAUCUCACUGGGAUCUUGAAUCCCCUAAAGGGCCGUCGAAGACUACGACGUUGAUAGGUUGGGUGUGUAAGCGCUGUGAGGCGUUGAGCUAACCAAUACUAAUUGCCCGUGAGGCUUGACCAU
rnacentral:rRNA from 1 species